rnacentral:rRNA from 1 species
GACGAACGCUGGCGGCGUGCUUAACACAUGCAAGUCGAGCGGUAAGGCCCUUUCGGGGGUACGACGAGCGGCGAACGGGUAGAGUAACAACGUGGGUGGACCUCGCCCUCCAGCUCUGGGAGUAAGCCUGGGAAACCGGGGUACUAAUACUGGAUAUGACUCCAUGACGCAUGUUGUGGGGUGGAAAGCCUUGUGCGGCUGAGGAUGGGCCCGCGGCCUAUCAGCUUGUUGGUGGGGG